GUCCUUUAGAAAAAAGUUAAAGGUCUAAUCUGCCCAAUGAUGUUUGAAUGGCCGCGGUAACUUGACCGUGCAAAGGUAGCAUAAUUAUUAGUCUUUUAAUUGAAGGCUUGAAUGAAAGAUUGGAUGAAAAAUAAACUUUAUUAAUAAAUAUUAUUUAAUUUAUCAUUUAAGUAAAAAUUCUUAAAUAUAUAAGUGGGACGAGAAGACCCUAUAGAGUUUUAUAUUUAUUUUUAUUAUGAACUUUAAGAAUCAAUAUUUUCAUAAUAUAAAUAAAUAUUUUAUUGGGGUGAUAUUAAAAAUUACUGAACUUUUAAUUAACAUUUCAUUAAUAUAUGAAUUUUUGAUCCAAAAUAAUUUUUGAUUAUAAGAUUAAAUUACCUUAGGGAUAACAGCGUCAUUAAUUUGAAGAGUUCAAAUCGAUAAAUUAGUUUGCGACCUCGAUGUUGGAUUAAGAAUAAAUUUUGAAGAAGUAUUUAAAAUUGUAGGUCUGUUCGACCUUUAAAUUCUUACGUGAUCUGAG
rnacentral:rRNA from 1 species